rnacentral:rRNA from 1 species
AUUGAACGCUGGCGGCACGCCUAACACAUGCAAGUCGAGCGGCAGCGCGAUAUGUAGCAAUACAUAUUGGCGGCGAGCGGCGGACGGGUGAGGAACACGUAGGAACCUACCCUCGAGUGGGGGAUAACCAAGGGAAACUUUGGCUAAUACCGCAUGAACUCGAGAGAGCGAAGCUGCCGCAAGGUGGCGCUCGAGGAGGGGCCUGCGUCCGAUUAGCUAGUUGGGGAGGGAAGAGCUCACCAAGGCGAUGAUCGGUAACUGGUCUGAGAGGACGACACGUCACACAGGGACUGAGACACGGCCCAGACUCCUACGGGAGGCAGCAGUGGGGAAUAUUGGACAAUGGGGGCAACACUGAUCCAGCGAUGCCGCGUGAGUGAAGAAGGCCUUCGGGUCGUAAAGCUCUUUAGGUUGGGAAGAAGGGUGAUGGAGGAAAUGCUAUCACUUUGACGGUACCGACAGAAUAAGCACCGGCAAGCUCUGUGCCAGCCGCCGCGGUAAAAC